rnacentral:rRNA from 1 species
UUGACCUCAAAUCAGGUAGGACUACCCGCUGAACUUAAGCAUAUCAAUAAGCGGAGGAAAAGAAACUAACAAGGAUUCCCCUAGUAACUGCGAGUGAAGCGGGAAAAGCUCAAAUUUAAAAUCUGGCGGUCUUGCGGCCGUCCGAGUUGUAAUCUGGAGAAGCGUUUAUCCGCGUCGGACCGUGUACAAGUCUUCUGGAAGGGAGCGUCGUAGAGGGUGAGAAUCCCGUCUUUGACACGGACAACCGGUGCUUUUGUGAUGCGCUCUCGAGAGUCGAGUGUUUGGGAUGCAGCUCAAAUGGGUGGUAAAUUCCAUCUAAAGCUAAAUAUUGCGAGAGACGAUAGCGACAGUACCGUGAGGAAGAUGAAAGCA